rnacentral:misc_RNA from 1 species
GAUGAAGAACGUAGCGAAAUGCGAUAAGUAAUGUGAAUUGCAGAAUUCAGUGAAUCAUCGAAUCUUUGAAUGCACAUUGCGCCCUCUGGUAUUCCGGGGGGCAUGCCUGUUCGAGCGUCAUUUCAACCCUCAAGCACAGCUUGGUGUUGGGACUCGCGUUAAUUCGCGUUCCUCAAAUUGAUUGGCGGUCACGUCGAGCUUCCAUAGCGUAGUAGUAAAACCCUCGUUACUGGUAAUCGUCGCGGCCACGCCGUUAAACCCCAACUUCUGAAUGUUGACCUCGGAUCAGGUAGGAAUACCCGCUGAACUUAAGCAUAUCAAUAAGCGGAGGA